rnacentral:pre_miRNA from 13 species
GACCGCACGGGAUAAUCAUUUUUCCGUGCGGUCCACUUAACCCGACCGCACGGAAAAAUAAUUAUCCCAUGCGGUU